rnacentral:rRNA from 1 species
CAAGUUUUUAAGGGCGCACGGUGGAUGCCUUGGCACCAGGAACCGAUGAAGGACGUGGGAGGCCGCGAUAGGCCCCGGGGAGCUGUCAACCGAGCUGUGAUCCGGGGGUGUCCGAAUGGGGAAACCCGGCAGUCGUCAUGGGCUGUCACCCAUACCUGAACACAUAGGGUAUGUGGAGGGAACGCGGGGAAGUGAAACAUCUCAGUACCCGCAGGAAGAGAAAACAACCGUGAUUCCGGGAGUAGUGGCGAGCGAAACUGGAUGAGGCUAAACCGUAUGUGUGUGAUACCCGGCAGGGGUUGCGCAUGCGGGGUUGUGGGAGCGAGCUUCGGUCGUCUGCCGGCGGCUGGGUGAGUCAGAAACCAUUGCGAUAGGCGAAGGGCAUGCGAAAGGCCCGGCGUAGAGGGUAAGACCCCCGUAGCUGAAAUCGUGGUGGCUUGCUUGCUUGUUUCCCAAGUAGCACGGGGCCCGAGAAAUCCCGUGUGAAUCUGGCGGGACCACCCGCUAAGCCUAAAUAUUCCCUGGUGACCGAUAGCGGAUAGUACCGUGAGGGAAUGGUGAAAAGUACCGCGGGAGCGGAGUGAAAUAGUACCUGAAACCGUGUGCCUACAAGCCGUGGGAGCGUCGCGCAAGGACUUGUCCUUGUGUCGUGACUGCGUGCCUUUUGAAGAAUGAGCCUGCGAGUUUGCGGUGUGUUGCGAGGUUAACCCGUGUGGGGAAGCCGUAGCGAAAGCGAGUCCGAAUAGGGCGGUGUAGUAGCGCGCUCAAGACCCGAAGCGGAGUGAUCUAGCCAUGGGCAGGUUGAAGCGGAGGUAAGACUUCGUGGAGGACCGAACCCACCAGGGUUGAAAACCUGGGGGAUGACCUGUGGUUAGGGGUGAAAGGCCAAUCAAACUCCGUGAUAGCUGGUUCUCCCCGAAAUGCAUUUAGGUGCAGCGUCGUGUGUUUCUUGCCGGAGGUAGAGCACUGGAUAGGCGAUGGGCCCUACCGGGUUACUGACCUUAGCCAAACUCCGAAUGCCGGUAAGUGAGAGCGCGGCAGUGAGACUGUGGGGGAUAAGCUCCAUGGUCGAGAGGGAAACAGCCCAGAGCAUCGACUAAGGCCCCUAAGCGUACGCUAAGUGGGAAAGGAUGUGGAGUCGCAGAGACAACCAGGAGGUUGGCUUAGAAGCAGCCAUCCUUGAAAGAGUGCGUAAUAGCUCACUGGUCAAGUGAUUCCGCGCCGACAAUGUAGCGGGGCUCAAGCGUACCGCCGAAGUCGUGUCAUUGCAGCAUGAGACCUAACGGUUGUUGUGAUGGGUAGGGGAGCGUCGUGUGCCGGGUGAAGCAGCACCGGAAGGUAGUUGUGGAUGGUUCACGAGUGAGAAUGCAGGCAUGAGUAGCGAUUCACACGUGGGAAACGUGUGCGCCGAUUGACUAAGGGUUCCUGGGUCAAGCUGAUCUGCCCAGGGUAAGUCGGGACCUAAGGCGAGGCCGACAGGCGUAGUCGAUGGACAACCGGUUGAUAUUCCGGUACCCGCUUUGAAGCGCCAGCGCUGAACCAGGCGAUGCUAAGUCCGUGAAGCCGCCCUGGAUCCUUCGGGUGAAGGGGAGUGGUGGAGCCGACGGUCCAGACCUGUAGUAGGUGAGUGAUGGGGUGACGCAGGAAGGUAGUCCAGCCCGGGCGGUGGUUGUCCCGGGGUAAGGGUGUAGCCCGAGGGGUAGGUAAAUCCGUCUCUCAUAUAAGGGUGAGACCUGAUGCCGAGCCGAUUGUGGUGAAGUGGAUGAUCCUAUGCUGUCGAGAAAAGCCUCUAGCGAGUUUCAUGGCGGCCCGUACCCUAAACCGACUCAGGUGGUCAGGUAGAGAAUACCGAGGCGUUCGGGUGAACUAUGGUUAAGGAACUCGGCAAAAUGCCCCCGUAACUUCGGGAGAAGGGGGGCCAUUGCUGGUGAUCACCCUUGCGGUGUGAGCUGGUGGUGGCCGCAGAGACCAGCGAGAAGCGACUGUUUACUAAAAACACAGGUCCGUGCGAAGCCGUAAGGCGAUGUAUACGGACUGACGCCUGCCCGGUGCUGGAACGUUAAGGGGACCGGUUAGUCACAUUUCGGUGUGGCGAAGCUGAGAACUUAAGCGCCAGUAAACGGCGGUGGUAACUAUAACCAUCCUAAGGUAGCGAAAUUCCUUGUCGGGUAAGUUCCGACCUGCACGAAUGGCGUAACGACUUCUCGACUGUCUCAACCAUAGGCCCGGUGAAAUUGCAUUACGAGUAAAGAUGCUCGUUUCGCGCAGCAGGACGGAAAGACCCCGGGACCUUUACUACAGCUUGAUAUUGGUGUUCGGUUCGGCUUGUGUAGGAUAGGUGGGAGACUGUGAAGCCGCAACGCCAGUUGUGGUGGAGUCGUUGUUGAAAUACCACUCUGGUCGUGCUGGAUGUCUAACCUGGGUCCGUGAUCCGGAUCAGGGACAGUGUCUGGUGGGUAGUUUAACUGGGGCGGUUGCCUCCUAAAGGGUAACGGAGGCGCCCAAAGGUUCCCUCAGCCUGGUUGGCAAUCAGGUGUUGAGUGUAAGUGCACAAGGGAGCUUGACUGUGAGACUGACGGGUCGAGCAGGGACGAAAGUCGGGACUAGUGAUCCGGCGGUGGCUUGUGGAAGCGCCGUCGCUCAACGGAUAAAAGGUACCCCGGGGAUAACAGGCUGAUCUUCCCCAAGAGUCCAUAUCGACGGGAUGGUUUGGCACCUCGAUGUCGGCUCGUCGCAUCCUGGGGCUGGAGUCGGUCCCAAGGGUUGGGCUGUUCGCCCAUUAAAGCGGUACGCGAGCUGGGUUUAGAACGUCGUGAGACAGUUCGGUCCCUAUCCGCUGUGCGCGUAGGAGUCUUGAGAAGGGCUGUCCCUAGUACGAGAGGACCGGGACGGACGAACCUCUGGUGUGCCAGUUGUUCUGCCAAGGGCAUGGCUGGUUGGCUACGUUCGGGAGGGAUAACCGCUGAAAGCAUCUAAGCGGGAAGCCUGCUUCGAGAUGAGGGCUCCCACCUCCUUGAGGGGUUAAGGCUCCCAGUAGACGACUGGGUUGAUAGGCCAGAUAUGGAAGCCGGGUGACCGGUGGAGUUGACUGGUACUAAUAGGCCGAGGGCUUGUCC